rnacentral:misc_RNA from 1 species
GGGCACCCCAUCUUUAGAAUUACAUCCUUGAAAGUUUUUCCAUGCGAUCAUUCAGUAAGCAGUUCUCCUGUGGAGCAGAAAAAGAUGGAGGCAGAGUUUUCUGGACUCUUGAGUGUGGCAGAGAAGACUUCUGGUCUCUAUUUUUCCUAUGAUACCAAUUUAACCCUGAGUGCACAAAGAUUGCACGCUUUAGGUGAUGAAUCAAAGUUACUACCCUUAUGGAGA